ensembl:piRNA 21ur-2107 ncRNA
UACUAUGUGGUGUGUUGUAAA